UCAUCAUCAGUUUCUAAUUCCA
rnacentral:miRNA from 1 species